UUGAGAGUUUGAUCCUGGCUCAGGAUGAACGCUAGCUACAGGCUUAACACAUGCAAGUCGAGGGGCAGCGAGGUUGAAGCUUGCUUCAACUGUCGGCGACCGGCGCACGGGUGAGUAACACGUAUCCAACCUGCCUUCCACUCGGGAAUAGCCUUUCGAAAGAAAGAUUAAUGCCCGAUGGCACGGAAUUUUCGCAUGAGAGUUCCUUUAAAGAAUUUCGGUGGAAGAUGGGGAUGCGUUCCAUUAGGCAGUUGGCGGGGUAACGGCCCACCAAACCAACGAUGGAUAGGGGUUCUGAGAGGAAGGUCCCCCACAUUGGAACUGAGACACGGUCCAAACUCCUACGGGAGGCAGCAGUGAGGAAUAUUGGUCAAUGGACGAGAGUCUGAACCAGCCAAGUAGCGUGAAGGAUGACUGCCCUAUGGGUUGUAAACUUCUUUUAUACGGGAAUAAAGUGAGGCACGUGUGCCUUUUUGUAUGUACCGUAUGAAUAAGGAUCGGCUAACUCCGUGCCAGCAGCCGCGGUAAUACGGAGGAUCCGAGCGUUAUCCGGAUUUAUUGGGUUUAAAGGGAGCGUAGGCGGAAUUUUAAGUCAGCUGUGAAAGUUUGCGGCUCAACCGUAAAAUUGCAGUUGAUACUGGAGUUCUUGGGUGCGGUAAAGGCAGGCGGAAUUCGUGGUGUAGCGGUGAAAUGCUUAGAUAUCACGAAGAACUCCUAUUGCGAAGGCAGCUUGCUGGACCGUAACUGACGCUGAUGCUCGAAAGUGCGGGUAUCAAACAGGAUUAGAUACCCUGGUAGUCCGCACAGUAAACGAUGAAUACUCGCUGUUGGCGAUACACUGUCAGCGGCCAAGCGAAAGCAUUAAGUAUUCCACCUGGGGAGUACGCCGGCAACGGUGAAACUCAAAGGAAUUGACGGGGGCCCGCACAAGCGGAGGAACAUGUGGUUUAAUUCGAUGAUACGCGAGGAACCUUACCCGGGCUUGAAUUGCUUCUGAAUAACUUGGAAACAGGUUAGCCGCAAGGCAGAAGUGAAGGUGCUGCACGGUUGUCGUCAGCUCGUGCCGUGGAGGUGUCGGCUUAAGUGCCAUAACGAGCGCAACCCUCAUCUCCAGUUGCCAUCAGGUCAUGCUGGGAACUCUGGAGAGACUGCCGUCGUAAGAUGUGAGGAAGGUGGGGAUGACGUCAAAUCAGCACGGCCCUUACGUCCGGGGCUACACACGUGUUACAAUGGGAGGUACAGCAGGCAGCUACCUGGCGACAGGAUGCUAAUCCCGAAAGCCUCUCUCAGUUCGGACUGGAGUCUGCAACCCGACUCCACGAAGCUGGAUUCGCUAGUAAUCGCGCAUCAGCCACGGCGCGGUGAAUACGUUCCCGGGCCUUGUACACACCGCCCGUCAAGCCAUGAAAGCCGGGGGUACCUGAAGUACGUAACCGCAAGGAGCGUCCUAGGGUAAAACUGGUGAUUGGGGCUAAGUCGUAACAAGGUAGCCGUA
rnacentral:rRNA from 1 species